UACGUAGGGUGCAAGCGUUAAUCGGAAUUACUGGGCGUAAAGCGUGCGCAGGCGGUUUUGUAAGUCUGACGUGAAAGCCCCGGGCUCAACCUGGGAAUUGCGUUGGAGACUGCAAGGCUAGAAUCUGGCAGAGGGGGGUAGAAUUCCACGUGUAGCAGUGAAAUGCGUAGAUAUGUGGAGGAACACCGAUGGCGAAGGCAGCCCCCUGGGUCAAGAUUGACGCUCAUGCACGAAAGCGUGGGGAGCAAACAGG
rnacentral:rRNA from 1 species